UUUAGUGGGCGAUUGUUUUGUUUUCUGUCAUUUUUAUGUUACAAGUUUUUCACUUACAUUCAGUUAACAAUGUGCAAGAUAUAUUACAAUUUCAUGAAUGAGAUCAAUCAAGAAAUGUUUUGUGGACCUUAAGUCGUGGCCAUUGUAAAAUCACUUGAACGAGCUGGUAGAUCUUAGAAGGAUAGCAGGAAUGAGUGUUGAGAUCUAAGAAAACAGUGAAAUUCUCUUACUACGUGCUACCAUCAAGCUAGAUAAUAAAGUCAAAUCAAGUUAUAUUUAACCAUCAAUGAUAAAACAGGGUGGAUCUUUCCCAUAGAGAUCGAAAACCUAACGCAGAUGGCAGAAGCCUCUACUAAACAAGUCAGCUGAAAAUAGUAUGGAGUUUGUGUUUGGAUUGAUGCUGCAAGGAUGUCUCUUUCUUCCCUCCGAUUGUGUGUGUUUGUUUGCAACUCUGCAAUGGAUCUUUGAGCGGAAUGAUUCCGGAAAGGAUGUGUCUCGUUGCGCCCAACAAAAUAACAGAACUCGGUAGAAUAGAAGAGAAACAGAAAGAUUCCAGGCAUCCAGGCUGGUUUUGCGCUGUAUAGUUUCCUUAAAAAUCGUCCCCCCUCCUCAAACUCCGGCUAGUCUUUCUUUUGUUGGCUAUGUUAAGGUCUUCCUUCCAGCGGCAGAGAAUCCGUAGUGCGCGGCGGCGUAAGCGACGGCCGGGGGAAGAAGAAGAAGAAAAAAGGGCCUUACUCUUUUUCUCUCUAUUUCUUCAUUUUCUAUUUCUUCUUCUUUUUCCCGAAUAGGAAAUGAGGAGUUUUCCCCCGAUGAAAGCUGCACAACGGUCGGAGCGCUAGACGCGCGGCCCGAUCCGUCUUUGUCAGAGCUCCAGCUCACUCUCUCACGUUGACCUUUUCCGAAGGGGCCACAGGGCAACCAGCUCUCCAGCAGCUCUAGAGCACAGUGCAUAUAGAAAAGAGAUACAGCACACAAGCAGCCAGACCUUCUUUUUCUUUCCCCUUCUCUUCUCUAUACACUUGGAUAUAUGUGUGUGUGUGGAUUCACUGUAUAGCUUUCCCCUCUUAUGGUUAGUACGUAUAGCCGCCUAUAGAUUCUCUUUCCUUUUUCUUGAUCAUAUUAUCUUUUAUCACUCGACGAUUCCCUAUUUUUCUACACACAGCAGCAGCAGUCAACGAGUAAAAGUAUCAAAAGCUCGGCUGGAUGGAUGGAUGGAUGGGCCGACCUACACUUACUACGCUAAAGGAGGGGGGAAAUCGACCACGGAGAUCUCCCGACUGAGGAAACGAGGGACGACAGUUGCGGACGCAGACAGCCGGCCGAUUUUGACGUUUCUAUUCCACCCAAAAUGUCGAAAUGAAUACGACGGAUGGCCUUGUUUCGAUCCACACCUCCCAGACUUUACAGGUUUUUAUUAAGUUUUUAUACACACACGACGAGAAUAAAGUUUGAUCGUCAUCAACUUACGGUCGAUUUCGUCUAAAAUGGUGGAGGGAAUCGCCGCAGGAGCCGAGUGAACACAACAACAACAGCCAGAAGAAGACGGGAAAACAAAACAAAAAAAAAGAAUACGGGGAAACCCAUUUUGGUUUUUAAAAGAGUCGAGCAUUGUAAUUAUCCAAACUCGAGGCAGCUAGGUAAAAAACACGUAUUAAAAAAUUUUCUUUUUCCUCCCCUCCGUCAAAUUCGACAAAAAGAAGAAAAGAGAGAGAAAAACCAAAAGGCUUCUGGCACUCUUUUUCAACACAGAGUGCUUGUAUGUAUGUAUACAAUAUAUAUACACAGAGAGAAAGAGAGAGACUCCAUGAAUACUUGUUUCGAGGCCACGACGAUAUAGGAUGACCGUUUGCAAUCAUGGGCCUUCACCGCCAUGAUGGAUCACCAACCAACCAAGCCAACCACCACCACACGGAGCACACAGCAAAGUUCCUUCUUCUUCUUCUUCUUUUUUCCCUGCUCUUUUGGUUCCUUCUUCAACACAAAAACGGCGAUGAAAUUUCUUCUUCUUUUCUGUUGUGCUGUGUAUUAUUUUCUCCCGCAUUUCUAAGAAUGUUAAACCUAUUGGGAAGAGAAAAUAUCCGAAAAUUCUUCCCUCAGAACCUGACAGCUACUCUCUCUCUCUCCUCCGCCAGGACCACAGCGGAAUCAGACUGACGUGCACAUAGGCGGAUACCUUGGAUGUAUGUCCGGAAGUUGGCGGAAUCCGGAAGCCGCACCCAAUUUUUGUCAACGUCGCAGACAACACACAAAGUCCCCCCUCUACGAAACAAAAAAUGUCAUCAACACUUUUUUUUUCAAUUCCAUUUUCUUACAUACCGAUAAACAUUUAGAUCAGAUUUCAAAGAUUCAUUUUUAACACCUUUCAAAUUAAAUGAAAAGAAGAUUGUCAAGUUCCAUGGCUAAUAAAUGUUGAAAAGUCAGUCAAACACGAA
rnacentral:lncRNA from 1 species